GUGGGAAUUGGAUUUGGCAACCAGAGAUGGCACCAGCACACCUAAGAGGAUGUCUGAACAUGAUGUUUCAAUUAGCAACAACACUCGGAAUCUUCACAGCAAACAUGAUAAACUAUGGAACAAGUAAACUCCAUCCAUGGGGAUGGAGACUUUCGUUAGGCUUAGCAGCAGCACCGGCUUUCGUUAUGACAGUUGGAGGCAUGCUUCUUCCCGAGACACCGAACAGCUUAAUCGAACAAGGAAAUAAAACUAAAGGGAGACA
rnacentral:misc_RNA from 1 species